ACAGGCAACCAGACUCGUGUCUGUGCGCGGAGCUCGGUUGGUGCCCUUGAGCGUCUUGUACGUAAAACAAGACGAAGCGGUCGUGAGAGUGGCCCUGUGGAGGGAGGCCACCUUGACCCCGAUCAAGGUCGGGGCCUCCUACACAUUCACGCACCUUAGUGCCGUGACGAACGACUUCGGCCUGUCCCUGAAUACGACACAGCAUUCAAAGAUAUCGGGCUACAAUACAACUAGGAAGUUGGUGGCUAUUGGGGUCAUGAUGGAGUAGGACGACGAGGUCAAGUUGGUGGAUGUGGAGGGGGUUGAGACCACAAUUUCGAUGGCAGUGUGGAC